rnacentral:rRNA from 1 species
GAUGAACGCUGGCGGCGUGCCUAAUACAUGCAAGUCGAGCGAACAGACGAGGAGCUUGCUCCUCUGACGUUAGCGGCGGACGGGUGAGUAACACGUGGAUAACCUACCUAUAAGACUGGGAUAACUUCGGGAAACCGGAGCUAAUACCGGAUAAUAUAUUGAACCGCAUGGUUCAAUAGUGAAAGACGGUUUUGCUGUUACUUAUAGAUGGAUCCGCGCCGCAUUAGCUAGUUGGUAAGGUAACGGCUUACCAAGGCAACGAUGCGUAGCCGACCUGAGAGAGUGAUCGGCCACACUGGAACUGAGGCACGGUCCAGACUCCUACAGAAGGCAGCAGUAGAGAAUCUUACGCAAUGGGCGAAAGCCUGACAGAGCAACGCCGCGUAAGUGAUGAAGGUCUUCGGAUCGUAAAACUCUGUUAUUAGGGAAGAACAAAUGUGUAAGUAACUAUGCACGUCUUGACGGUACCUAAUCAGAAAGCCACGGCUAACUACGUG